UACGUAGGGGGCAAGCGUUGUCCGGAUUUACUGGGCGUAAAGAGCGUGUAGGCGGCCAAGCAGGUCCGUUGUGAAAACUGGAGGCUUAACCUCCAGACGUCGACGGAAACCGCGCGGCUAGAGUCCGGAAGAGGAGAGUGGAAUUCCUGGUGUAGCGGUGAAAUGCGCAGAUAUCAGGAAGAACACCCGUGGCGAAGGCGGCU
rnacentral:rRNA from 1 species